rnacentral:rRNA from 1 species
CGAACGCUGGCGGCGUGCUUAACACAUGCAAGUCGACCGGAAAGGCCCUGCUUUUGUGGGGUGCUCGAGUGGCGAACGGGUGAGUAACACGUGAGUAACCUGCCCUUGACUUUGGGAUAACUUCAGGAAACUGGGGCUAAUACCGGAUAGGAGCUCCUGCUGCAUGGUGGGGGUUGGAAAGUUUCGGCGGUUGGGGAUGGACUCGCGGCUUAUCAGCUUGUUGGUGGGGUAGUGGCUUACCAAGGCUUUGACGGGUAGCCGGCCUGAGAGGGUGACCGGCCACAUUGGGACUGAGAUACGGCCCAGACUCCUACGGGAGGCAGCAGUGGGGAAUAUUGCACAAUGGGCGGAAGCCUGAUGCAGCAACGCCGCGUGCGGGAUGACGGCCUUCGUGUUGUAAACCGCUUUCGCCUGUGACGAAGCGUGAGUGACGGUAAUGGGUAAAGAAGCACCGGCUAACUACGUG